GCUGAUGCGUUGUUGGGUAGGGGAGCGUUCUGUAAGCCUGCGAAGGUGACCUGUGAGGGUUGCUGGAGGUAUCAGAAGUGCGAAUGCUGACAUAAGUAACGAUAAAGCGGGUGAAAAGCCCGCUCGCCGGAAGACCAAGGGUUCCUGUCCAACGUUAAUCGGGGCAGGGUGAGUCGACCCCUAAGGCGAGGCCGAAAGGCGUAGUCGAUGGGAAACGGGUUAAUAUUCCCGUACUUGGUGUUACUGCGAAGGGGGGACGGAGAAGGCUAUGUUGGCCGGGCGACGGUUGUCCCGGUUUAAGCGUGUAGGUGUGUGUUCCAGGUAAAUCCGGUUCACUUUAACACUGAGGCGUGAUGACGAGGCACUACGGUGCUGAAGCAACAAAUGCCCUGCUUCCAGGAAAAGCCUCUAAGCAUCAGGUAACAUCAAAUCGUACCCCAAACCGACACAGGUGGUCAGGUAGAGAAUACCAAGGCGCUUGAGAGAACUCGGGUGAAGGAACUAGGCAAAAUGGUGCCGUAACUUCGGGAGAAGGCACGCUGACACGUAGGUGAAGUGAUUUACUCACGGAGCUGAAGUCAGUCGAAGAUACCAGCUGGCUGCAACUGUUUAUUAAAAACACAGCACUGUGCAAACACGAAAGUGGACGUAUACGGUGUGACGCCUGCCCGGUGCCGGAAGGUUAAUUGAUGGGGUCAGCGCAAGCGAAGCUCCUGAUCGAAGCCCCGGUAAACGGCGGCCGUAACUAUAACGGUCCUAAGGUAGCGAAAUUCCUUGUCGGGUAAGUUCCGACCUGCACGAAUGGCGUAAUGAUGGCCAGGCUGUCUCCACCCGAGACUCAGUGAAAUUGAACUCGCUGUGAAGAUGCAGUGUACCCGCGGCAAGACGGAAAGACCCCGUGAACCUUUACUAUAGCUUGACACUGAACAUUGAGCCUUGAUGUGUAGGAUAGGUGGGAGGCUUUGAAGUGUGGACGCCAGUCUGCAUGGAGCCGACCUUGAAAUACCACCCUUUAAUGUUUGAUGUUCUAACGUGGACCCGUAAUCCGGGUUGCGGACAGUGUCUGGUGGGUAGUUUGACUGGGGCGGUCUCCUCCUAAAGAGUAACGGAGGAGCACGAAGGUUGGCUAAUCCUGGUCGGACAUCAGGAGGUUAGUGCAAUGGCAUAAGCCAGCUUGACUGCGAGCGUGACGGCGCGAGCAGGUGCGAAAGCAGGUCAUAGUGAUCCGGUGGUUCUGAAUGGAAGGGCCAUCGCUCAACGGAUAAAAGGUACUCCGGGGAUAACAGGCUGAUACCGCCCAAGAGUUCAUAUCGACGGCGGUGUUUGGCACCUCGAUGUCGGCUCAUCACAUCCUGGGGCUGAAGUAGGUCCCAAGGGUAUGGCUGUUCGCCAUUUAAAGUGGUACGCGAGCUGGGUUUAGAACGUCGUGAGACAGUUCGGUCCCUAUCUGCCGUGGGCGCUGGAGAACUGAGGGGGGCUGCUCCUAGUACGAGAGGACCGGAGUGGACGCAUCACUGGUGUUCGGGUUGUCAUGCCAAUGGCACUGCCCGGUAGCUAAAUGCGGAAGAGAUAAGUGCUGAAAGCAUCUAAGCACGAAACUUGCCCCGAGAUGAGU
rnacentral:rRNA from 1 species